rnacentral:rRNA from 1 species
UGGGGAAUAUUGGACAAUGGGGGCAACCCUGAUCCAGCAAUGCCGCGUGUGUGAAGAAGGUCUUCGGAUUGUAAAGCACUUUCGACGGGGACGAUGAUGACGGUACCCGUAGAAGAAGCCCCGGCUAACUUCGUGCCAGCAGCCGCGGUAAUACGAAGGGGGCUAGCGUUGCUCGGAAUGACUGGGCGUAAAGGGCGUGUAGGCGGUUUACACAGUCAGAUGUGAAAUCCCCGGGCUUAACCUGGGAGCUGCAUUUGAUACGUGUAGACUAGAGUGUGAGAGAGGGUUGUGGAAUUCCCAGUGUAGAGGUGAAAUUCGUAGAUAUUGGGAAGAACACCGGUGGCGAAGGCGGCAACCUGGCUCAUGACUGACGCUGAGGCGCGAAAGCGUGGGGAGCAAACAGGAUUAGAUACCCUGGUAGUCCACGCUGUAAACGAUG